rnacentral:rRNA from 1 species
GACGAACGCUGGCGGCGUGCUUAACACAUGCAAGUCGAACGGAAAGGCCCUUCGGGGUACUCGAGUGGCGAACGGGUGAGUAACACGUGGGUGAUCUGCCCUGCACUUUGGGAUAAGCCUGGGAAACUGGGUCUAAUACCGAAUAGGACCACGCGCUUCAUGGUGUGUGGUGGAAAGCUUUUGCGGUGUGGGAUGGGCCCGCGGCCUAUCAGCUUGUUGGUGGGGUAAUGGCCUACCAAGGCGACGACGGGUAGCCGGCCUGAGAGGGUGACCGGCCACACUGGGACUGUGAUACGGCCCAGACUCCUACGGGAGGCAGCAGUGGGGAAUAUUGCACAAUGGGCGCAAGCCUGAUGCAGCGACGCCGCGUGAGGGAUGACGGCCUUCGGGUUGUAAACCUCUUUCAAUAGGGACGAAGCGCAAGUGACGGUACCUAUAGAAGAAGCACCGGCCAACUACGUG